rnacentral:rRNA from 1 species
GAUGAACGCUAGCGGCAGGCUUAAUACAUGCAAGUCGAGGGGCAGCAUAGGUAGCAAUACUGGGUGGCGACCGGCAAACGGGUGCGGAACACGUACGCAACCUUCCUUUAAGUGGGGGAUAGCCCAGGGAAACUUGGAUUAAUACCCCUUAACAUUAUGAGAUGGCAUCCUUUUAUAAUUAAAGCUCCGGCGCUUACAGAUGGGCGUGCGCCUGAUUAGGUAGUUGGCGGGGUAACAGCCCACCAAGCCUACGAUCAGUAACUGGUGUGAGAGCACGACCAGUCACACGGGCACUGAGACACGGGCCCGACUCCUACGGGAGGCAGCAGUAAGGAAUAUUGGUCAAUGGACGCAAGUCUGAACCAGCCAUGCCGCGUGGAGGAUGACGGCCCUCUGGGUUGUAAACUCCUUUUAUCUGGGAAGAAAUGCAGAUUUUCUAAUCUGUUUGACGGUACCAGAGGAAUAAGCACCGGCUAACUCCGUGCCAGCCGCCGCGGUAA